rnacentral:misc_RNA from 1 species
GGGAUAAGGAAAAAAAAAAUGGAGAAAGAAGCAGCCCUGAAAGUCCUUAGCAACCACAAGGUCAAUUGGGAUUCAUAAACUCCGCUCGUCAGAGUAGUUUCGCCUUUUUUUUUUUCUUNUUUUUUUUUUUCUUGGCCAUCAAUCUGAGGUUGGUCUCAUUACCGUUUUAAGAAAGCAACCGUGAUGCUUCUAUCAAGCAAUACAAACAAGCAAACUAUUCUUUGAGAGCAUGACAGAUGUAGCCAAAUCAAGUUCACAAUUUUGCAAUCUUACCAAAGCAACAAAUCAAUAAAAUUUUCCGGAAGCUAUACGAGCACAAUUUUGGGCAGAUUUAUCUUAGAUCCUUUCCCUGAUCACACACAUAGAGCCAUUUACCUUGUGCUAGAAAAUCGUGAAAAACACAUUCUUGGACUUCUUCCAUAAACACUUGAAGCCAUUCACCUGUACUCAACUCAUGGAUGAAAAGUAGAGAUUCUAUGCUAGAUCAGGACAUUGUGUUGAUGCAAACCAGACAAGGAUGAAUGCAUUGCAGGUUCAACGCUACUCGAAGA